GACGAACGCUGGCGGCGUGCUUAACACAUGCAAGUCGAACGGAAAGGCCCUGCUUUUGUGGGGUGCUCGAGUGGCGAACGGGUGAGUAACACGUGAGUAACCUGCCCUUGACUUUGGGAUAACUUCAGGAAACUGGGGCUAAUACCGGAUAGGAGCUCCUGCUGCAUGGUGGGGGUUGGAAAGUUUCGGCGGUUGGGGAUGGACUCGCGGCUUAUCAGCUUGUUGGUGGGGUAGUGGCUUACCAAGGCUUUGACGGGUAGCCGGCCUGAGAGGGUGACCGGCAACAUGGGAAGUAGAAGACGCCCGAGACUCCUGGGGGGGGAGGCGGGGGGGAUUAUUGCAAAGGGGGAGGGGGCCUGAGGCACCACCCCGGGGUGGGGGAUAGGGGCCUUGGGGUUGAAAACCUCUUGCCCGGGGAACAAGGGGGGGGGGAGGGAAAUGGGUAAAGAACCCCCGGCUAACUACGUG
rnacentral:rRNA from 1 species